rnacentral:rRNA from 1 species
UACGUAGGGUGCAAGCGUUGUCCGGAAUUAUUGGGCGUAAAGAGCUCGUAGGUGGUUUGUCGCGUUGUUCGUGAAAACCUGAGGCUUAACCUUGGGCGUGCGGGCGAUACGGGCAGACUGGAGUACUGCAGGGGAGACUGGAAUUCCUGGUGUAGCGGUGGAAUGCGCAGAUAUCAGGAAGAACACCCGUGGCGAAGGCGGCUCUCUGGGACGGUACUGACGCUGAGACGCGAAAGCGUGGGGAGCGAACAGG